GCAACCGGCGGCGCCCGCCCGCCGAGCGGCCCCGCUCCAGAAGGUUCGGGCCGGGUCCCGGCGCGGUUCCCCGCGGGGAGCAGCCCCACGCGUGGGGCCCCACGCCGCUCCUCCCCACGCCGCCCCUCGGGCUGCCUCUCCCGAAGACCCGUUUUUGCCCGGCGAGGCCCCCGGUCCGGCCCGGCCCGGCUUGGGGAGGGGUGUGCAGGCCCCGGCGGGGAGCAGGCCCGGCCUUCACCUCAGCUCCUGUCAGGCGUUUGCAGAACUGUAAUAUGGAAAUCCAGCCGCUGCCUCCAGAGAUGUGGAGACCUGCAGUGUCCAGAGGAAGGUGCCCGUCUCUCCCGUCAUGGCUGUGCUGGAAUCCAUCCCCUUUCACCAGGAGCACAGAAAAAGUGGAAAAUAGAACAGCAACAACAAAACCUUUGCAUAGGCAAGAUUCCUAAAUGCUAA
rnacentral:lncRNA from 1 species